rnacentral:rRNA from 1 species
AUUGAACGCUGGCGGCAGGCCUAACACAUGCAAGUCGAACGAGUGGCGGACGGGUGAGUAAUGUCUGGGAAACGGCCUGAUGGAGGGGGAUAACUACUGGGAACGGUAGCUAAUACCGCAUACCAUCAGAUGUGCCCAGAUGGGAUUAGCUUGUUGGUGGGGUAACGGCUCACCAAGGCGACGAUCCCUAGCUGGUCUGAGAGGAUGACCAGUCACACUGGAACUGAGACACGGUCCAGACUCCGACGGGAGGCAGCAGUGGGGAAUAUUGCACAAUGGGCGAAAGCCUGAUGCAGCCAUGCCGCGUGUGUGAAGAAGGCCUUCGGGUUGUAAAGCACUUUCAGCGGGGAGGCGUUACCCGCAGAAGAAGCACCGGCUAACUCCGUGCCAGCCGCCGCGGUAAUUC